UACAGAGGGUGCAAGCGUUGUUCGGAAUUACUGGGCGUAAAGCGCGUGUAGGCGGCUAAGUAAGUCGGGCGUGAAAUCCCACGGCUCAACCGUGGAAGUGCACUCGAAACUGCAUAGCUAGAGUCCUGGAGAGGAAGGUGGAAUGCUUGGUGUAGAGGUGAAAUUCGUAGAUAUCAAGCGGAACACCGGUGGCGAAGGCGGCCUUCUGGACAGUGACUGACGCUGAGACGCGAAAGCGUGGGGAGCAAACAGGG
rnacentral:rRNA from 1 species